rnacentral:rRNA from 1 species
CACAUGCAAGUCGAGGGGAAACGACAUUGAAAGCUUGCUUUUGAUGGGCGUCGACCGGCGCACGGGUGAGUAACGCGUAUCCAACCUGCCCACCACUUGGGGAUAACCUUGCGAAAGUAAGACUAAUACCCAAUGACGUCUCUAGAAGACAUCUGAAAGAGAUUAAAGAUUUAUCGGUGAUGGAUGGGGAUGCGUCUGAUUAGCUUGUUGGCGGGGUAACGGCCCACCAAGGCUACGAUCAGUAGGGGUUCUGAGAGGAAGGUCCCCCACAUUGGAACUGAGACACGGUCCAAACUCCUACGGGAGGCAGCAGUGAGGAAUAUCGGUCAAUGGACGAGAGUCUGAACCAGCCAAGUAGCGUGCAGGAUGACGGCCCUAUGGGUUGUAAACUGCUUUUAUAAGGGAAUAAAGUGAGUCUCGUGAGACUUUUUGCAUGUACCUUAUGAAUAAGGACCGGCUAAUUCCGUGCCAGCAGCCGCGGUAAUACGGAAGGUCCGGGCGUUAUCCGGAUUUAUUGGGUUUAAAGGGAGCGUAGGCCGGAGAUUAAGCGUGUUGUGAAAUGUAGAUGCUCAACAUCUGCACUGCAGCGCGAACUGGUUUCCUUGAGUACGCACAAAGUGGGCGGAAUUCGUGGUGUAGCGGUGAAAUGCUUAGAUAUCACGAAGAACUCCGAUUGCGAAGGCAGCUCACUGGAGCGCAACUGACGCUGAAGCUCGAAAGUGCGGGUAUCGGACAGGAUUAGAUACCCUGGUAGUCCGCACGGUAAACGAUGGAUGCCCGCUGUUGGUCUGAAUAGGUCAGCGGCCAAGCGAAAGCAUUAAGCAUCCCACCUGGGGAGUACGCCGGCAACGGUGCAACUCAAAUGAA